rnacentral:misc_RNA from 1 species
ACCCGCCACACGCCCUGAGCGAAGAGUAAACUACUGCACUCGGUGUGAUAGCGAGCCCGCCACUGGUUUUGGGAGGCUGCGGCAGCCGCAGGGCUCCAACACAAGCCUGGGGCUUGAUGGUUGAAAUGACGCUCGAACAGGCAUGCCCGCCAGAAUACUGGCGGGCGCAAUGUGCGUUCAAAGAUUCGAUGAUUCACUGAAUUCUGCAAUUCACAUUACUUAUCGCAUUUCGCUGCGUUCUUCAUCGAUGCGGCUGUACCAUAGA